UACAUGGGGUGCAAACGUUGCUCGGAAUCAUUGGGCGUAAAGCGCGCGUAGGCGGUUACUUAAGUCGAAUGUGAAAGCCCUCGGCUUAACCGAGGAAGUGCAUCCGAAACUGAGUAGCUAGAGUACGAAAGAGGGUCGCGGAAUUCCCGGUGUAGAGGUGAAAUUCGUAGAUAUCGGGAGGAACACCGGUGGCGAAGGCGGCGACCUGGGUAGAUACUGACGCUGAGGCGCGAAAGCCAGGGGAGCAAACGGG
rnacentral:rRNA from 1 species